UAGAAAGAUGGUGACUGCUGACAUUCUAUAAAAUGGAGACGCCCAGGGUGUCUCCUGGCUGGGAAUUUCAGGAGAUUCCCAGUGUCAGGAAAUUAGGAAAAUAUUGCUGUUUUACAGGAAUUCUACUCAGUUAGCUCUUUAGUCAACAAAGGCUGACAAGAUGCUGACAAGCUUAAGGGCUGGUGCUUGAAAGAAGCUUUUCCAGGAGAUAAGGUGUAUUUGAACAUGUGAUGAUUGAUAUAUACAGAAUAGAGUUUUUUGCUAUUUGUCCUUUUCAUGGUGGUAGCAGGGGUGAAUUUUAGGAAAAAACUGCCAAGUAUCUGUAAAAAUAUAUAUCUGCCCUGUAGAGAAUUUUUGGCAGAAUUCACUUCCAUUAUUUAAAACAGUUUUUCUGCCAUCCAGCCUGAAUCUUGACACAGUAGCUAGACUAGCUAUUCUACAACUAUCUUAAAAGAGAAUUUGGUUAGCUGCUUUAAUUUACAAAGGUUAUUUUUAAAUCCCAUUCUUUUGACUAUGCUAAACCUCUGGGUUUUGUGCUUGCAGUUUUGUUUAUCAUUUUGAUGGUUAAAUUUGACCCAUUGUAUACAGGACAGAUAAGUGGAGGAGUUUGUUGCAUAGCAUUUUGAGGGUAGGGCCUGAGGAACUGUUCUACACUUUGAUUAUAGUGGUAAUUACAUCUGUCAGAAAUUUGGAGUGAGUUUUACUGAAUGUAAAUUCAAUUUCAAUAAAUA
ensembl:lncRNA